ACCUAAGCCCCGCCCCUCCGGGGCGGAGUCACGGCUCGCGACUGGCCUAAAUCGCCGCAGGACACCAUGAAGCAGUUGCCAGUCUUGGAACCUGGAGACAAGCCCAGGAAAGCAACAUGGUCUGUAACGAAGGAUCCAGACACAGAAAAGCAUGAGUUUUUGUUUCAUUUAUAAGUAGUUUACUAACAUAUUUGAUCAUCAACAAAAAAGGGUAGAGACGAAACCGUCUGCAGUUGCUGGUAAUUAGACUCAAACUGUCUGAGCAGGUCUUCAGAGGAAAGAUAGGGGGGCAGUAAUUAUCACAGAGCAGAUGUUGAUUUUAUUAAAAUCCAUUUACCAGAAAGAGUAAGGCACUGACCAUCUGGCAUCGUCAGCUCCAAUGCUGUGUCUUCCCCCAAGCUCUGACUCAUUUCUAAGAUUUUUAGGAAAUUAGAUUUGGAUUAAACUGGCUUCACUGUU